AGCAUAUUUAAAUAUUGUUAUUGUACUGUUUCUGUAUAUGUUUGAAGAUUAUACAUUUUUAAAAAGUAUGUACUUAUCAGACACCACUUAAUCCUCUGCUCUUUUCUUUCUAUUUCUCCACUGUGAUUUUCUUAGGAAGAUGAAACACUGAAUUAGGAAAUCUGGGAAACUGCAGACACAUUUUCUAACAUGUUCAAAUCAGGAAAAAAAAGGAGAAAGGGUGAAGAAGUUUACACUCAAUAUACUAAUAGCUCCUGGCUUUUGCACCUCAACCCAGAUUUUAUAACUAUAAUAAAAAUAUUAAUUCAUUCUCAGGCUUCAUACUAUAUAAACUACGUAGUUCUUUUUUUU
rnacentral:lncRNA from 1 species